rnacentral:rRNA from 1 species
CCUACGGGUGGCUGCAGUGAGGAAUAUUGGUCAAUGGACGAGAGUCUGAACCAGCCAAGUAGCGUGAAGGAUGAAUGCCCUAUGGGUUGUAAACUUCUUUUAUAAAGGAAUAAAACGAGGCACGUGUGCCUUUUUGCAUGUACUUUAUGAAUAAGGAUCGGCUAACUCCGUGCCAGCAGCCGCGGUAAUACGGAGGAUCCGAGCGUUAUCCGGAUUUAUUGGGUUUAAAGGGUGCGUAGGCGGUCUGUUAAGUCAGCGGUAAAAGCCCGGGGCUCAACCCCGGCGCGCCGUUGAAACUGGCAGUCUUGAGUUGGCGAGAGGUAUGCGGAAUGCGCGGUGUAGCGGUGAAAUGCUUAGAUAUUGCGCAGAACUCCGAUUGCGAAGGCAGCAUACCGGCGCCAAACUGACGCUGAGGCACGAAAGCGUGGGUAUCGAACAGGAUUAGAUACCCUAGUAGUC